UAGCGUAACAGUCUUUUGGCUAACAGCUAGACGUAAGUUGGUCUGAAGAACAGAAAACAGAUGGCGGAUAAAGAUAGCGAAACAGGAGAUAUCAAAGAAAACUGUUUGCCGAAGAGAGGAGCUAUUAUCUGUAGUUAGGAAGGUUUAUUUUUUGUUUUUAAAAGAUGUGGCGCACGGCAUAUGGCGGGAAUAGCAAACGGUGGAACGACAUUACGGAUACGGUCUCACUACAGUCUAUAAAGACAGCUUCAGAGCCACGAUUAAAACGCUGAAUUCAAGAUCUACACAGCCCCUUCGUGGAUCCUCUUGGGCCUGCUGUUGUUGAGAAUGCCCUUAAAUGGAUGAUCUUUGGACCCCAUUGCAACWAAACUUCGAUUGCAAAGAUUGUACCCAGAAAUGUUAACAACAGUAGCGCUYCGAGUGCAGUUCGUCAGAAGGUAUCCCAAUGCGCAUAUCUCCUUUAAGGCCUCAUUGGUGAACAAAACAACAUGAGGUUCGGUCAACAACCUGCGGCUCCAGAGCCACAAGUGCCUCUUUGACGCUUCCAGUGUGACUCCCAAUAACUACGGCUAAAAUGAUAAAAGAAUGAAGGUUUUAAAAUAAACAUUAAAGGCAGGUUUUUGCA